UGUCUCUGCUGGUAUCCUUGUCUUUUAUGAAUACAAACUCUGCUACUCACUGCAAUUUUUAAAAGCAUUUAACUUUCCAUAUUUUCCGGAUUUUAUUUUGAAAAUUGGGAGGAGGAGAUGUAUUAUUUCUUGAGUCAGUAUCCUUUUUUAUUGCAUCUCUCAGCUUUUGGAAAUGCUAGUCUCAGAUCUUUAUUGGCUCUGUUCUUUACUGUUGGCUCAUACAACAAUCAGAUCUGGAUUUGGAAAUUAUUCCCCCAAAAUGUGUGGCAUAGCUCAGCAUAUCCCAACCUGUCACUCCCAAAUUUCAUGGUUUCUGCCCUACCCAGUAUGGAGGGAGGGUACGAAGAAAGGUACUCAUUGUCAGUGUCUGCCCCCUGUACCACGAGGGGUUAAGAGAUUCCACUUGCCCUCAAGGGAUAGGCCUUGAUUUCCGGAUCAGGAGAAAAGCUGGAGGAUCCAAGACAAAGAGAACUCUAUAGGCUCAUCCUUAGCUCGAGCAAAUGGAGAGAUUCUCAAGGCUGUUGGAGAAAGGAAGGGUGAGAACGCGGGAGAGGAUUAGGCAACCAAGGGCAGAAGGAAAUUAUGGAGCAGGAGAUGUUACUACCUGGUAAGCAGGAGCUUACCAAGGGCCUAUAAAAAUAUUUGAGAUCUUUGGGUGCCUGGGUGGCUCAGCUGGUUAAGCAUCCAAGUCUUGGUUUAGGCUCAGGUCAAGAUCUCCCAGUUUGUGGGUUUGAGCCCUGCAUCAGGACAGCUCAAGGCCUGCUUGGGAUUUCUCUCUCUCUCUCUCUCAAUAAAUAAACUUCAAAAAAAUCUGAGAUCUUAAAAAAUAGUAUUGGUUCUAGAAUACAAAAAGAGAAACUUGAAAAGUCAAAAUUAAUAAAUAAUUAUACGUCUAUAAAAUACACCUUUAUGUCGGCCAAAUGAAAUAUUUUGUAAUUAUAUAAAAACUUACAUUUAAUAUGGGAUUUCAAUAUGUUUCAGUGUUUGAUAUGAAAGGUAGGGCUUCCAAAAAAGAAAAAUGCUUUAAAGAAGGUCUACAAAGGUCUUAGAGGGACGCUGAAUUCAUUUUAGAAUCUAAUGAAAGUUUCAGGUCCUUUCCCUAGAAACAUGCUUUUUUUAAAAAAGGUAAUCUGGGACACCUGGGUGGCUCAGUCGGUUAAGUGUCUGACUUUGGCUCAGGUCACGAUUUCACAAUUUGUGGGUUCAAGCCCCAUGGGGGGGCUCUGUGCUGACAGCUCAAGGCCUGGAGCCUGCUUCGGAUUCUGUGUCGCCCUCUCUCUCUGCCCCUCCCCUGCUCACUCGUGCUCUCUUGUGCACUCUCUGUCAAAAUAAAUAAACAUUAAGAAAAUUUAAAAAAACAAAAAUUCUCUACACCUAACAUGGGGCUCGAACUCACAACCCUACAGUCAAGAGUCAAGUCGCAUGUGAGACUGAGCUAGCCAGGAGCCCUUCCCUAGAAACAGGCUUUUAAAAUAGCGUUCUUAGGGGCGCCUGGGUGGCUCAGUCAGUUGAGCGUCCGACUUCAGCUCAGGUCACGAUCUUGCGGUCCGUGAGUUCGAGCCCCGCCUCAGGCUCUGGGCUGAUGGCCCAGAGCCUGGAGCCUGCUUCCGAUUCUGUGUCUCCCUCUCUCUCUGCCCCUCCCCCGUUCAUGCUCUGUCUCUCUCUGUCUCAAAAAUAAAUAAAUGUUAAAAAAAAAAAAUUGUAAUAAAAUAGCAUUCUUAGAUCCCAGGCUAAAAACUCUAGUGUUAGUAGCUUUGAUAAUUGCUGAUAGUAACAGGAAUCUGCUAGGGGAGAGUAGCAAGCAGUACAAGUACUUCUCAGCAGAAACAGGAGUUAAUUUUUUAUUCUCAGUUUGAGGGUAGAUCCAGGAAGUAGCAUCGGGCCUGGGCCUGGGGACUCCAAGCCUCCUCCCCGGAUAGUUGGAAUCUGACUAGUGAAGCUUUCCGGGGGUCUAAUGAUUAGGAGCAGGAUUGAGUGACUAAAAGGACAGAGGCUGGAGGAGAGGACAGGCACUGAACAAUUAGGGAAGGGAGUGAGGGAGUUCAGUGCCUAGCUGGCAGGACAGUAAAGAAUCCAGGCUCUCGGGGACUGAGGCAGAGACCCAGUGAGUCAGACCUGCCUCUUCAAUGGAUAGAAGCUGUGUGAAGAAGGCAAGUCCCAGGGCUUCCAGAAGUAGGGUAUCUGGAUUUGAAGUAAGGCCCUCACACAUCCUAGCUCUGUGACCUUGUGGCUACAUUAAUUCAAAUCUCUGGACCUGUUUCUCCCAUCUCAAAAUGGAGAUAAUAGUGGUACCUGCUACGUUGCUGUGGAAAUUAAAUGAGUUGAUGCAGGUAAAGCACUUAGAAGGGUACUUAGCUCUAUAACUUGAUCACUAUUAGCUGGUAUUAAUCAAUGAAAUUCUUGGCACCUUCUGACAUAGUAACUGCUUAGUAAAUAUUAGAUCCUUUCCUCUUGGAUGAACGUAAAAAUCUCCUAGGAAUCAUAGGGGAGCUACACAGAGAAUUUAAAAACAAGACAGUAUAGAAGUUCUAUAAAAGACUGCGUCUGGAGGCUGCAAAGGGUCAGAAGCAGAAUAAAAGAUAUCUUGAAAGAGGUAUUUGAAGUGCAUCUUGAAGAAUGACUGCAAUUUUUUAAAGUGCCGAUUAGGAAAGAGGCAUUUUCAGAUAGGUGACACAUUAAGGGCAGAUGUACAGAGGUUGGAAAACAGGCUGUGAUCAGAAAAAAAGAGAAUAGUCCCAUUUUGUAGGGACGGAGGGAGGAUAGAAGUUUUACAAGUUGGUGUCAGGUUUGAAUAGUAUCUUACAUAUGGGCAGUUCUUUUGGGGAUGAAUUUGAGAAGUCCCUGGACAUUUUCCUUUGAUUUUUACUUUACUGAAGUUAUGCGGGCCAGUGGCCUUCCAAACAACAGAUGGUCAUUUGGGACAUUUCUGGAAUGCAACUAUUAUUAUCCAUACAGAGCACGUAAUGAGAGAAUGUUUAGCAGUCUCAAUAUCCAUUUUAAAUGUACCCUUAUGUGACUUUAUCUUCUCACUCUCCUUAACUGAGGAUAUGCAGCAAGGGUCACAUCGAUGAAAUAGGAUUAAAUUGUCUAAAAGCAGGGAUGAAGAAUGUUCUUCGUUCUAUUUCCAACACGUUACCUGGCCAAGACUUGCGUUUCAGUUUCUCUCUCACUAGGUGAGUCGUCGGGCAAAUCAUUGCUCAGAGUUGUUUCCUCAUCUAAAAUGGUAGUAACAGCGUCUGCUUUAUCUCAUAGGCUUGCAAGGGGGUUCAAAAUGGACAAUGUAUAUGAGGCAUGUAUUUUUUUUACUUUUUUAUUGUAAGGACAAAAAAUUUGCCAUUGCUAAAUUGUAUUUGUUUGGGGGGGUGGGGGGUGGGGAGUACACAUAUAUCCCCAAACAUGAACACCAAGGUUUUUGUAUUUUUGUCCACAAGCCUAUCUUUUCCUAAUAGGGAAAAACUCCAGUAUUUUUUAAUGUUGCUAGCGUCUGUUACUUUUUAAUUAUAUUGUCCAUAAAGUAUUUCAUUGAGUAUACAUGGGGUAAGUUAGCCGUUUUCACUUAUGUUAGGGUUUUAACAGCCCUUUGCUUCAGAAGCUUCCAUCUACACCAUCUCCAGGUCAAAGCUGUCUGCCUUUGUCAUUAUCUGGCUUGGAAACCUUCAAGUCUCUGCCCCACGCUGCCCUCACAGGAGCCAGGCUGAAUGUACAACCUGACCCCACCCUAAUACCAAACAGAUACUGCAAAAACCAGCCAGAUUGAUCUAAUUGCCUCCCAAAUGUGUCACUGUCCAUUCUUAUUCCUGCCUUUAUCAUUCUUUUUACCACCCCCCCCCCCCGCAAUUUUCAUGUUUUCUUUCUUUUGUGUAUGUGGGUUUCCUUUUUUUACAAAUUACCAAUCAAGGUCCAUCCAGCUCAAGUCCCAACUUCUUUAAAAAAACUUUUCAAUUCUAGCCUUCCCUGACCCUCUGAACUUUUUUUUGGAUUACUUGCCUAAUCACAUAAUGACUAAUUUUUAACAAUUUUAUGUGUUUGAGACAACUCCCUAUUGUAGUUUUCUUAACUCUUUUGUAUUUUUAUAGCAUCUGACAGGAUACUGAAUGAAUCAUUUUGAAUUGCCACAUGGUUCCCAGCCUUGUGCUAGGGAUGCUGAACAUGAAAAAUAAAUAUGGUCUGAGUUACUGUAAUCACUUCUGGGGCGUCAAAAAAAAAAAAAAAAAAAAAAAAAAAGUGGCCUCUUUUAUCUUAAUUCUCCAAAGUCAGAAACAAACAAAAAUAUCUCAUUUUCUAUGUAUACAUAUGCUUUCUGCGCCCCAUGGCUCAAAAACAGGUCGCUCGGUAUACUGGCUCACAUGAAAUGUGAGCAUUGCUUCUAACAGCAGAAAACUGAAGGCCAUCGAAAUCUCAGACCAGUGAAAUAAACAGACCAGUGAAAUAAGCUAUGAGACAAAGGAUUAUGUAACUAUUAGCAAACCAGGAAGCUUUAUAAGUACAAUAUGGAAUAUCCAAGAUAUAAUUUCCAAGACAUCCAAGUCUAUUUCGAUGGACAAAGUAAAAGGUGCAGAACACCUUGUAUUGUAUGCUACAGUUACUCUAUGUUCAGACUAGUUUUGGAAAGACCUAAGGACUUGUUGACAUUGAUAUUGGUUGCUUUUAUGGAGGUAAACAGGAGGCCUGGGGGUGGGGGGGUAGGGAGACAGACUUCACUGUAUAACCCCUUGAUUUCUGAACUAUGCUACUGUACUAUUUUUUAAAAUAAAAAUUAAAAGAUACCAAUACAAAUA